GCCUCCAUAGCUUAGUCGGCAAAGCAGCGGACUCUUAAUCCGUGGACCCAAGUUCGAUUCUUGGUGGGGGCACAA
rnacentral:tRNA from 2 species